UCGUCCACGGAUGGACGUGGUUCCAUACAGUAACGAGUUUGACAUUUCGUCAAACUCGUGUUCAAGCGUUGUACAUGGACGUACAACGCUUGAUAGAG
rnacentral:sRNA from 1 species